rnacentral:lncRNA from 1 species
UUUGUGGUCCUAGAGACUAAACUCGGGACAAGUGCUCUGCUAGUGUGUUCGAUCCCUAGGCCUCCUCAUCUAGAACUCUGGAUUCUCCUGGCUGUAGGUUCCAGUGCUGGGGCUGGCAGUGGAGAGUUCCACGUGUACAGGCACCUACGUCGGAGAGAGUACCAGCGGCAGGACUACAUGGAUGCCAUGGCUGAGAAGGCAAGUGAGCCAUGGAGCCUAGUGACUCUGGUCAGGCUUGGCACUGCGGGCUGCUCGCACUAGAACAGUGACCUGUAGGACUUUGCAUGUGUAUGGAAGGACACUGCACAGUCCUCCUCUCUCUAGGCCAUUUGCCUAGUAACGGGACGGCAAUGCGGGCUUCCACAUGGUUGGGGAUUUCCUCCUCUCUUUUCUCUGUUGGGCUGAGUGCAGACACUGAGAGGGUUUGAGUUUUCUUGGGGCUUACAUUUCUUCAUGUCAGGUGACAAGUAAUGUGUUAUUUUAAGAGUUUAAGAAUUGCUUUAGAAAUUGUACUCUAAGAACCAUUAAGAGUACCAGGUGCAGCAGGCAGAGAUGGCACACAUCCUUAACCCCAGGACUCUGGAGGCAGAGGCAGGUGGAUCUCUGAGUCUGAGGCUAGCCUGGUCUACAGAGUGAAUUCUAGGACAGCCAGGGCUACACAGAGAAACCCUGUCUCAAAGAAAAAACAAGCAAAGUGCCAGUUGUGGUGAUACACGCCUUUAAUCCCAGCAUUCAAGUGGCAGAAGCAGGAGGAUCUCUGUGAGUUCCAGGCCAAACAGGGCUACAAACUAGAGACUAUGACUCAAAAAACAAACAGUAAACAGCAGU